GACGAACGCUGGCGGCGUGCUUAACACAUGCAAGUCGAACGAUGAAGCCCAGCUUGCUGGGUGGAUUAGUGGCGAACGGGUGAGUAAUACGUGAGUAACCUGCCUUUAACUCUGGGAUAAGCCUUGGAAACGAGGUCUAAUACCGGAUACGACCAGUUCCCGCAUGGGAUGCUGGUGGAAAGGGAUAUGUACUGGUUUUAGAUGGGCUCACGGCCUAUCAGCUUGUUGGUGAGGUAACGGCUCACCAAGGCGACGACGGGUAGCCGGCCUGAGAGGGUGACCGGCCACACUGGGACUGAGACACGGCCCAGACUCCUACGGGAGGCAGCAGUGGGGAAUAUUGCACAAUGGGCGCAAGCCUGAUGCAGCGACGCCGCGUGAGGGAUGACGGCCUUCGGGUUGUAAACCGUCUUUCAGCAGGGAAGAAGCGAAAGUGACGGUACCUGCAGAAGAAGCGCCGGCUAACUACGUGCCAGCAGCCGCGGUAAU
rnacentral:rRNA from 1 species